ACUCAGGAUAGCUCAGUCGGUAGAGCAUGAGACUCUUAAUCUCAGGGUCAUGGGAUUGAGCCCAACGUUGGGCA